rnacentral:rRNA from 1 species
AACCUCCGCAAUGUGAGAAAUCGCGACGGGGGGAUCCCAAGUGCCAUUCUUAACGGGAUGGCUUUUCAUUAGUGUAAAGAGCUUUUGGAAUAAGAGCUGGGCAAGACCGGUGCCAGCCGCCGCGGUAACACCGGCAGCUCUAGUGGUAGCAAUUUUUAUUGGGCCUAAAGCGUCCGUAGCCGGUUUAAUAAGUCUCUGGUGAAAUCCUGUAGCUUAACUGUGGGAAUUGCUGGAGAUACUAUUAGACUUGAGACCGGGAGAGGUUAGAGGUACUCCCAGGGUAGAGGUGAAAUUCUGUAAUCCUGGGAGGGCCGCCUGUUGCGAAGGCGUCUAACUGGAACGGUUCUGACGGUGAGGGACGAAAGUUAGGGGCGCGAACCGGAUUAGAUACCCGGGUAGUCCUAACUGUAAACGAUGCGGACUUGGUGUCGGGGUGGCUUUGAGCUGCUCCAGUGCCGAAGGGAAGCUGUUAAGUCCGCCGCCUGGGAAGUACGGUCGCAAGACUGAAACUUAAAGGAAGU